CUCCCAAAACCCAAACCCUCUCUCUCUCUCUCUCUCUCAGCCUCUCCCUUUCCCUCACCCUCUCUCCAUCUCCCACGCUCCCUCACCUUCUCUCUCUCUUGCACUCAGCCUCUCCCUUUCCCUCGCCCUCUCUCGAUCUCCCUCGCUCCCUCACCCUCUCUUUGUCUCUUGGCCCCAUUCACCGCUCUCUCUGUUUCCCAACCUCUCUCUCUCUCUCUCUCUCUCUCUCUCUCUCUCUCUCUCUAGGGUUUUCAAAACCCCCUUUCGCCGCAAACCCACCAUCGAUUUGUGAGCAGACCCUAUGCUAGGGUUUUCGAAACCCCUUUCAUCCAACCCUCGUCACCGUCUCAGCUCAUCCACCAACCGCAGCCUUCGUCUGAUUGCAAUUUCUUCUUUGCUAAGGUAUUUGCAUGGGAAUGCUUUCCAAGGUCCAAUGCCUUCCAGUCUUUCCAGUUUAGCAUCCCUAACUGAUUUGUGAAUUGGUGAAAUAACGAGCGGAAUCUCAUCUCUAGCAUUGAUCAUGGGCAUGAGGAGCUUAAACACUUUAAUCUUGAGAAACAGUAAGAUAUCAGACACAAUUCCAUUCAACAUUGGAGAGUACUGAUCGUUACAGUAUCUGGAUUUGAGCUUUAACAAUUUAACUGGUGAAAUUCCAAGUUCGCUGUUCAAUAUGAGUUUGCUAUCAAACUUGUUUCUUGGAAACAAUAAUCUAUCUGGUAGCCUUCCUUAUAGGAAAAGCUCAUCUAUCAAGACCAUGCUAGUAUAUAUCGGGAGGAGAAGAAUGUCAUAGACUUGUAUAUUAUCCUUCUCAGAUUUUCAAGGUAAAGAAAGUAUCAUUAUGGGAGUUCUGCUUGCCUUUUCCUUGUUUUUAUUGUCACUUUCUCAUUGUUAUGGAGUAUUGCUUUUUGAAUAUUCUUCUUUUUGUAAAUUUUGUAAGAAUCAAAUAUUUUACAGCUCAAUUGAAUGGAGCCUUGCUGCUACCUUGAGGUUGUGGGUUCAAUUUGAGACUAUUAUUACAUGUUUCAUUUGUGAUUUUAAAGAUUGUCAGAGUAUUUGAAUUUCCUUAAAAAUUCAGUUCUUUACUAUCUGUUUAGCUGGGUUUAAUAGUUCCAUAUUUGCAUUUGGACAGGUAUUCAAUCUUCCCAAUUUACUAUCCGCAAUCCCAUUCAUUCAAUUGCUUUCUAAAUGUCAGCGAUUUCCUUCAUCUAAUUGCUGACCAAUCAGUGAUUACACUGUCCGGAAUAGAUUGCUGAGCUUCGAUCAUUGCUACCAGAUCAAACAUGAGACCAGCAUCUUUCCAAGAAUGUGACAUGCAACAGAUGGUGUUGUAGCCAAGAGAGUAGAUUUGUCCUUAUUCCAGAUGCAGAAGUCCCCUCAUUCCUUGAGCUAUCAGCUGCCCUGUCUGGAAGUCACUUGGAAUUGCCAUGCUAUGAUUUUAAAGGAAUAUUGGUUCUCUAAUGUAAACUUUCCAACCCACAAAUAGUUAUUUUGAAUAGAAGGAACAUGCAGAAAAUGUCUUAAAGCUAAGGCACCAGAUGUCACCGGGUGAGUAGCAUCACAAACAUUGGUAAUCAAAGGCUGAGUGCAAUUAACAGCCAUGGUACAAUUAAAUCCAUGUUAGGGAAUGGGGUGAGACAAAAUACCUACAUCUCCAGUCAAUGCAAUGUGUGGCUUGUGUUUGGCUACCAAUUUGGAUCAGACAGGGGAUCAAGUGUCAUGGUCUUGUGGAAGGCACUCAACCAGAGAAUUUAAGGGUCAUGGUUGUAAUGCUUUCUGUUUUUAAGCACAAACCUGAGGUAGGAAACCAUAUGCUUUUUUCCCCUUUUAUGUUACACAAAUGAGAAAUUAUACAAAUUAUAAUAAGUUAAAACAUGAAUAGUGUCCCAAUGAGUAAUUGAAUUCCUGACUAGUACUCUUGAUAUGAAUACUAAGAUAAUUGCAAUUGGGUCAUGUAAACUAAUUGUUUCAGUUCAAUGUAAUAGGCAUUGAAUCACAACCUUUGACUAACCACAAAGUAUUUUUCACAGGCGGAGAAUAAAGACACCAUCGAAUCACAAGAUCAGGAAAAGGCUUGCUUGUAGGCUGUGGUUUGACAGGAGCACGAAUGUUGACCAUGAACAAAGCCUUUUAACUAAGCUGAAGCAACAAUGGGGUGGCCAACUUACUUCGUAGAUGGAAGGAAUGGUCUGUCAUAUACUAACUGCUUGCCCGAGCUAGUUGCAUGCGUGCGUGUGUUUUCUUCUUCUUUCUCAAAGGGAUUUCUUGGUGUUGUUCUUUCAUGUUUUUCUGGCAAUGCAGGUUACUGAUUUUCCAUUAGCAAGGGAGAAUCAACAGAAUGUUUUGAAGCUCCAUGCCCAUUUCCAUCUUUAUAUUGCUAACAGAAUUUUAUUCAAGAUGAUGGUUUUCAUAUCUUUUCUUCUCCUUUUCAGACUAUUCAACGUCUAUGUUUGUAGCUUGCUUAGCUCCAAGAUACAUACAUGUUGCAAGGAUUUACUGUGGUCCCAGAUCUUGAACCAGCAGAAAUAUUAUAUAUGGAAAACAGUGAGAGAGGAAAUGAUGUCUCUUCUGUGGCAUAACUUCAAGGAUUCUAGGCGCUGCCCUCGUUGUUCCGAUCUUGCAAGUGAAUGUGAUUUGGGGAGAUGAAAGUCAGAAAGGAGCAACUAUUUGUUAAAUCUUGGCAUGGAUGGAACACUAGCAUACAGAUACUGAUGGGUGAUAGUCAUUAGAGUGUAUUUGUGCGCAUUUGGAAUCCAAACUAUAUAUUUCAAUUGGCUUAUUACAAUAAUUCCAUCUAGCACAUCUGUACAUUAACUAGAGAUAUUAAAAUUGAUUUAGCAACCAAAUUCAAAUUCAUGUAAAUAUAUUGCAAAAUUUCAAUGCGUUGCUAUUUUUAGAUUCCAGUGCAUUCUGAAUGCAAGCUAGCAAACACAACUUAGGAUUCGGAAUCACCUUGAUAUGUGAUGUAGAAUCCAAUGGAUUCUAAAUAUAAGCUUUUCAAUCCCCACUAUUUCUUAUGGUGUGUCAGACUUCAGUUGCAUUUGUUUAUUUCUUUUUUUCCGGCUCACCACCUAACAAGUCCUGGCAGAUGGACGGAGUGGAUGUCACACAAAUAUCAUGCCGGGCCUUACAUAACUUUUGGUUACAUAUGCUCUCUAUAAUAAAGGAUGGCAAGAAAUCUAUAGAAGUCCCUCACGUCUUCUUUUCGUCUCUCCCAGAAGUACAUUCAUUUUGUACCACAUUGCCUACCUAAUCCCAACUCUAGAAUCCUUUUCUCCUCUGCGCCCCUCCGAUGCAAGACAACACCAACACAUCCCAUCCUUAGCCUCAAAACCCAGUUAGUACUCUAUAUCUGCUGGUGCAACUUUGAUUCCAACUCUAAACUUCUUCCUCGACACAUGAAACCCCUCAUCACUUCACAACUUAGCACCAAUAGUCCCACCCCAGCCACUGACCAUUCAUGUACGCACUCUUGUCGUGACGCAUUGAUCAUCCGCAUGAAUGCGAUCCAUCUCUUCUUGGCUAUACUCACGGACUUUGUCUUGACUAGGGUCAUCACGUUGUUGGCAACACGGUCAAUUUUAUACCCACGUUCUUCGUCGCCUUCGCCACUGUCGAUCCCUUUAAUAUCUUGUUGUGUUUGACUGCCGCGUUGGACAUCUUGCUCUCAUUCAAAUACCACCGCCUGCGAAGAGGACUCGGCUAUGUCUAUGUUCAAGCCUCGAUAUAGUACGGGCCCAACCUCCAAUCAAAGGUCUCCAUCCCUCCCUUCCACUUACACGAAAAUGAGAUUGCCUCAGAAGUUCGAUCUCUACCAUGGAUGAGACCAGAAUGUUUUUGUUUCUUUUUUACUUCGUCUAAAUUUUCUCUGCAUCCAGGGUUGUCAAUGGGUUGAGCUGGCUCGUUGAGUUUUGGGCUUCCCACAACAAGUGGGAAGUGACUUACAUGUAACCAGUAUUUUGAGUGUCGAUGAUGUCACCGAUAUUAUUGGUAUCACUAGCUCAACGACAUCAAUAACACAGAUGAUAUCGAAAUUCCAAGUAUCGGCAAUAUGUCACUAAAUAUCACCAAUGUAUCGAUAUUGCUUAUGUAUUGCUAUUGUUUUCAACCGUGUAAAUUUCAAGUGUUGCUUGUAUCGCAAAUGAAUUUACAAUACUUCUAUAAUAUCACCAUUGUAUUGACAUCGACAAAAAUUUAUUUAUUAAAAAGAUUUCCAUUUCAAA